UACGUAGGGUGCUAGCGUUGUUCGGAAUCACUGGGCGUAAAGAGUGUGUAGGUGGCUACUUAAGUCUGAUGUGAAAUCCUCUGGCUCAAUCAGAGAACGGCAUUGGAUACUGAGUGGCUAGAGUUCGGUAGGGGGAAGUGGAAUUCCUGGUGUAGAGGUAAAAUUCGUAGAUAUCAGGAGGAGUACCAGAGGCGAAGGCGACUUCCUGGGCCGACACUGACACUGAGACACGACAGCGUGGGGAGCAAACAGG
rnacentral:rRNA from 1 species